GCAGACACAUUUCAGCCAAUCAGCAGCAGACCCUCCCUCCCGGACCCUCCCACCUCCUGGACAGCUCACUAAGAAUGCAGCUUCACAAUGAAUGUAAAAUGGAUGCUGUCCAGGAGGUGGGAGGGCCUGGGAGGGAGGGUCUGCUGCUGAUUGGCUGGAAUGACGUG